rnacentral:rRNA from 1 species
GACUCCAUGAAGCUGGAUUCGCUAGUAAUCGCGCAUCAGCCACGGCGCGGUGAAUACGUUCCCGGGCCUUGUACACACCGCCCGUCAAGCCAUGAAAGCCGGGGGUACCUGAAGUGCGUAACCGCGAGGGGCGCCCUAGGGUAAAACUGGUGAUUGGGGCUAAGUCGUAACAAGGUAGC